rnacentral:rRNA from 1 species
GGUAUCGCCGUUAGUCAUGUGCAAAUAUGGAUAGCUGUUUUAGCCGUCUUUAUUGACUGGUUUAUAAGAGUUAUCAGAUAUCACUUUGAUUAAAUUAGAGUGCUUAAAGCAAGUGUGUUACUUGGAUAUAAAUGCAUGGAAUGAUGGAAUAUGUUGUUAUUCUAUUUGUUGGUUUUUGAAUGAUAAAAUGAUUGAAAGGAACUGUUGGGGGCAUUCGUAUUGUUGUGAGAGAGGUGAAAUUCUUAGACCACAGCAAGACGAACUACUGCGAAAGCAUUUGCCAAGAAUGUUUUCAUUGAUCAAGAACGAAAGUUAGAGGUUCGAAGGCGAUCAGAUACCGCCCUAGUUCUAACCAUAAACUAUGCCAACUAGCAAUUUGCUUUGUAUUUUUUAUGACUAAGUGAGAGGCCACGGGAAACCUAAGUAGGGUUAUGGGGGAAGUAUGGUUGCAAAGCUGAGACUUAAAGGAAUUGACGGAAGGGCACCACCAGGAGUGGAGCCUGCGGCUUAAUUUGACUCAACACGGGAAAACUUACCUGGUCCUGACACUAGAAGGAUUGACAGAUUGAUAGCUCUUUCUUGAUUUGGUGGAUGGUGGUGCAUGGCCGUUCUUAGUUGGUGGAGUGAUUUGUCUGGUUAAUUCCGAUAACGAACGAGACUCUAGCCUAUUAAAUAAUACACGGAAUUUUAUCUUCCGCGGUAUUUCUUAGUGGGAUCAAGCG